CUCUAAACGAAGGUACCAUCGACCGCCUCUGGCUAUGGUCAGAUAUCGUAAUCCAAGACCUGCGCAGAAACAAGACCAUUUGUCCACAUUUGAGCGGAUUUCCUGCACGGCCAUACAAACGCUUCCAUAUCGUCGGAUUUUCGGUUCACCUUCCUCCAGCGUGUGGCAGACGAGCCUUGGCAAUGACAAGGGUUCGCUCACGACUUUUAACACCCAAAAUACUCUUAUACAUGCUCACAGCCAUACAUUGCCAUGGUGAUUAGGCCAUAAUCUGCCUCUGCAAAGCUGGUGGAUGGUCCGUCUAAUAGCGCGGGCAUUGACUUUGCGCAGGUCAAUAUCGUAUCUAAUCUACCUCUGCGCUGACGAUGGUCGCCGUUCCGGCAGCAAAUGCCAAAGAUUGGAAUCUUGCGUCAUGAGGAGCAUACUUGGCACAUCUCGAAAACAUUACCAAUUCACAAACCUCUUUUCGAGCUAAUCCGGGCUAGUAUGCUGCUGAUACCGAAUGGUGCGACAACCCCCGGGGUUUGUUUGAUACUCUCCGAGGCUUUGCGACAACAAAGCACGAGAGUGGUCGAGCUUCUUUUCCGUCGACUUCCAUUCCACAGCCCCUACAUCCUGAGUCUGGGGUUCUAGAAUCCUUCUCUUCUUAUGCCGGAAAAUCGUCCUACGAUUGCAGCAGAGCUAACAGGAAUUGCUGCGAAAGUAGCGAACUAACAAUCCGCUUCCACUUGCUCCAAACCUGUUACAUCGCAUGUUGCCUUCGCGUCUCCUGGGUCAUUAGAUGAAACGCUAACUGACCUACGAUACAAUCCUUUGUCGAUAGACACAGCCAAAGCCGAGGCACCAAGAUGACAGUCUAACACAGUAUCUUACGAGCCCACUACAACUCAUACCACUCCACUGUGUGUAUGUCCUAUAAUCAGGCUAUCAUGGGAUACUUCGCACAACCGGCAUAGAUUUUGGCUGAUGAUGACUGAAUGGGUGAGAGUCAUAAGAAGGAGUACCCACAUCUGAACGCCUCAUUAUCCAACAGCUACGGAAACUGUAACUAGGCAGCCAGGCUUUAACCUCUCUCGGUCCCG